CGGUGAGGUGGGGUGCCUGGGCGAGGAUGUCGCGCUCCAGCCGCCGCAGUCCGGGGCCGGGAUCCACACCCAGCUCACCGGCCA
rnacentral:tRNA from 1 species